GACGAACGCUGGCGGCGUGCCUAAUACAUGCAAGUUGAGCGCUGAAGGUUGGUACUUGUACCAACUGGAUGAGCAGCGAACGGGUGAGUAACGCGUGGGGAAUCUGCCUUUGAGCGGGGGACAACAUUUGGAAACGAAUGCUAAUACCGCAUAAAAACUUUAAACACAAGUUUUAAGUUUGAAAGAUGCAAUUGCAUCACUCAAAGAUGAUCCCGCGUUGUAUUAGCUAGUUGGUGAGGUAAAGGCUCACCAAGGCGAUGAUACAUAGCCGACCUGAGAGGGUGAUCGGCCACAGUGGGACGGGGACACGGCCCAAACUCCGACGGGAGGCAGCAGUAGGGAAUCUUCGGCAAUGGACGAAAGUCUGACCGAGCAACGCCGCGUGAGUGAAGAAGGUUUUCGGAUCGUAAAACUCUGUUGGUAGAGAAGAACGUUGGUGGGAGUGGAAAGCUCAUCAAGUGACGGUAACUACCCAGAAAGGGACGGCUAACUACGUG
rnacentral:rRNA from 1 species